rnacentral:rRNA from 1 species
UACAGAGGUCUCAAGCGUUGUUCGGAUUCAUUGGGCGUAAAGGGUGCGUAGGCGGCGCGGUAAGUCGGGUGUGAAAUCUUGGAGCUUAACUCCGAAACUGCAUUCGAUACUGCCGUGCUUGAGGACUGGAGAGGAGACUGGAAUUUACGGUGUAGCGGUGAAAUGCGUAGAUAAUCGUAAGGAAGACCAGUGGCGAAGGCGGGUCUCUGGACAGUUCCUGACGCUGGAGGCACGAAGGCCAGGGGAGCAAACGGG